GAAAAUGAAGAAAAUGAUGAGGGCCCAGGAAUCCAAGAUGGACAAGAAAUUUCAGCAGCUCUGCCAAAGAAUUGGAACUCUGGAACAAGAAUUCUACGGGAGGCAGGGGUCCAAACAGCACAUCCUUCAGCUCUUCAGAGCAAAAAUGGAGAUAGAACAAGGUGUGCUGAUAGAAAGUGCAUCAGAAGACGAGGCCAUGAUACAGAUGCGUAGACAACUCCUGAGAUGGUGAAGCAUUGAUCAACAAAAUUAAAGUCUGGCUCUCAUUACAUUUCUCUUGAGCUUGGCCCCCCACCCCCUGCACUCCCUGGGCUUGCUGUGUUGGGAAGUGCUCGUGCUGCCGGAAGACUGAGAUAAUUGUUAGGGCUUUUCUCCCUCCUGUGAGCUGGUUCCUGCUGUGCCAGGGCAGAUCCAUCCACUGCCUGGUUUCAAACAAGUGAAAGCAACAGCAGCCAAAGUGCAACCCAGAGCAGAGCUGAAUUACCCAGCGAGCUCUACACAAAAUCUCAGGCAGAGUCCUGGGAAUCCUGGAUUUUAAGUGUUUUAACAUUUUGUGUGUGUGAAGAAUCUGGGAUGUACAGCAGUGGGGGAACCAUUUCACCUGGAGAAUGAAGUGUUCAGUUGCAAUCCUGAUUUUUCUGUGACAUGUUUACUACACUCGCAUUACCUGUCUUCUUUCCCGUUUCUGUUUUUAGUUAAUGUGCACAGCACAAGUGUAGAAUUAGCAUGUUCCUCCUGAGGCCGGGGCAACACCUGUCUUCCAAGGGUGCCUGUGCCCUGCGCAGGCAGAGGAGUUCCCUUAGAGUAAGAGAACCACCACUGUGCCCCGCUAGUUGGGCACCAUCUGUCACAGUCGCAGGGGAGAGAAGCCGCGACAGCCGGGGGUUCGUGCAGAGUGGUAGCUCGAAGCUAUUGCAGCCUUAUUAGGGUGUGCCACCCCUAUUUAUAGGGCGGCAGGAGAAGGUUCCAGAAACCAGGGAGGAGCAUAGGACAGGCAGGGACAUGGACCAGUCAGAAGGGAAAGGAGGGAAUAAGGGAGAAAUAGGAGCCAAUAAGGAAAACAUCUGCAAUGCAGCAGAUUGCAGCCAGUCAGAAAAUAGGUAAUAAACAUGAGGAGAAAACUGUGAAAACAUUUGGCAUAAACUGAGGUACAAUACAUUCGUAACUUUUGUUAACAAUCCUGUUCAGUCCUAGUCUGUAAAACAGUCUCAGUCUUCAUAACUGGACACUGAAUGCCCAGAAUCCACGUCCUCCUCUGUCGCCUCUUCAGCUCUGGUCUCUCGCAGCUGCCUUCUCCACCUCGCAAACUUCUCCCUUUCCUCCUCCAUGCUCCCCGCAUCACCCCCUUCUUGUUUUCUAUGAUGAUAUUAGCUGAGACACUCCUUAAUAACAAAUUUUGAAUGCAGAUAAUUAUGCAAGGAACAAAUGUCAAAAUUGAAAUAAAAGUAAAUAAAGAAACAACA